AUCGCGUUAGCGAACGCGUUGUGGCUAACUCACUUAGCUCCUGUUAGUAGGCUAUGGUCAGAAAAGAAUGAGAUAACAUGUUUUUAAAACAUGUUAUGUUGC